rnacentral:rRNA from 1 species
UUAAAUUGAAGAGUUUGAUCAUGGCUCAGAUUGAACGCUGGCGGCAGGCCUAACACAUGCAAGUCGAGCGGAAACGAGUUAUCAGAACCUUCGGGGAACGA